GCCCAAGAUUGAAAGCUGGCGCCUUCGGCGUCCGCAUUGUAAUCUCAAGAAGUGUUUUCCGCUUCGGACCAUGCCUAAGUCCCUUGGAAAAGGGCAUCAUAGAGGGUGAUAAUCCCGUACAUGGCAUGGAGCGCCCGAAGCUUUGUGAUACGCUUUCUAAGAGUCGAGUUGUUUGGGAAUGCAGCUCAAAAUGGGUGGUAAAUGCCAUCUAAGGCUAAAUAUUGGGGAGAGACCGAUAGCGAACAAGUACAGUGAUGGAAAGAUGAAAAGAACUUUGAAAAGAGAGUUAAACAGUACGUGAAAUUGCCAAAAGGGAAGGGUAGGAGGUCAGAGAUGCGUCGCAGGAUUCAGCCUUGCUUUUGCUUGGUGUUUUUCCUGCGUUGCAGGCCAACGUCGGUUUUGGGCACUGGAGAAGGGUAGGAGGAACGUGGCACCUCUCGGGGUGUGUUAUAGCCUCCUACUGGAUACAGCGACCGAGACCGAGGAACGCAGCGUACUCGUAAGAGCGGGCCUUUUGGCACCUUUACGCUUAGGGCGUUGGCAUAAUGGCCCUCUACCACCCGUCUGA
rnacentral:rRNA from 1 species